AUGUGGGGGUUACAAUUUGAGAUGAGAUUUGGACCAUCCCAGACGAUCUGUAAGAUUCCAUCUGGGAAAUCACUUGGAGAUCUUGGAAGGAAAAGAAGGAAGACUGUUGGUUGGAAUAAAAGCAAGGUUAAAUGGAUUCCGGAAAGCGGGGCUCUCAAACUUGUAGACAACAAUCUGCAGAAGAUGACUUCAAAAAACCAACUAGAAGCAACAUGUAGAGAAGUAAGAUGUGAUGUGAGGGGGCUCCUCUAGUCCACAGCAGUAAAAUCUUGAGACAGCUCUCCUAGUAAGAUGAGGGGAUCCCUCUGUAGAGAACACUUCUUCAGGAUAUGUGAGGAAGACCAGAAGGAACAAACAGAGACUCCUGGAAACAAAGAAGGCGUACAGAGCACUAUACCUACUGAGGUUAUUGUAAGAAUCAGAGGAACGUUGGCCUGAGGAGGAGAGCCUUGCAUUGUUGGGCUAUUUGCAUGAUUUCCUAAAAUAUCUGGCAAAUAAUUCUGUAUCUCUGUUUACUGCCAGUAAUCACAAAGCAGCUUUUGCUGAGUACCACUGCAAAGCCCUGUGAGGGUCUACAGACCACUCAUUCUUAUCUGUCUGGUAUCUGGAAACAUUUUUUUUUGUUCUUAGCCUUUUUCUUGUAAGAUUGAUGUUCUUUAAAAUUGUUGAUGUAUAACAGGGCUAAUUGUUAAUGUGCAACAGGGCACAGUUUGUUUUCUGUGCUGUUUGAAACAGAAAAUGAAAGAAGUGUAAGCUCCUUUUCUCAUUUGAAAGUUGCUAUGCAGCGUAUGCAGUAAUUAGAACAAAGAAGAGAACAUUCAGUAUAACAUUUUAUUGCCUAGUUGACAACAGUGCUUGGAAACUGGUGGUUUUAUCUCUUCGAUACUACACAAUUUUCGAAUGUGCGUUAAUGCUAUGUGACAAAAUGCCCUGAUUCCUAGUGCCAAAGGUUCAACUUAAUGCGUAUACCCCCAAACCCAUGAUUUCUGCUCAUUUUUUAAAAAAUGUUCUUGAGUAAACCAGCCCAUCCCCUGCAAGUCCACCUGUGUUGGUCCUUAGGCAUUCUAUCUUUGCUCUAAUUGUUGAAGGAUGGUGGUUUUUGUAUUUGAGACUAAUGUACAUUCUAACAUGAUAAAGGCAAUUCAUUAUUGUAUAGCCAUGGUUUUCUGAAAAAGUUAAUAUUUCAGAGAUUGUAUUUCAGAUCUUAAAUAAAAUUUGUUUCUAAAUUUCAAAGCUAAAAGAAAACACAAUCAAGUCAGCAAAUUAAGUCAGUUUGGUCAUGUCUUAACGUUUUACACACACACAUGACUGGUAGUACACACACACACACACACACACACACACACAUACAUACUUCAGCACAUAAUCCCCGCAAUAUGGCAAUGGUCUAUGCAGAAACACAAGAUGAGGUUAUUUAAAAAUGCUCACCUAUUUAGCAUGAAUCUUUGCAAUAUUUCACUCUUCUUCUUCCUUUGGUGACUUUAUAUUACAGGUUCAUAGGCUUCUAAGUAUACUAUCUUUCACCAUUGUUUGAAAGACUUAGCCUCGUUCCAAAUUUAAGAAAUUAUGAAAUUCAUAAGAAGUUAUGAACUUCAUAAAGUCUCACAGAAAAAAAUAAGUAUUAUCUGCAUUACAUUUUAUAAUUAAAUUUGAAUUUGUUCCAUUUAUAGUUAUAUUUGAAUUCAGCAUUCUCAUGAGGAAACUUAGGUAGAUAGCCUAGUUUUAAGAAAUUCAGAGUAACAUAAUGAAUAGAAUUGCUAAGACUGAAACCCAAAUCUGGAAUUUUUUUUUGUAUAUAUAUAUAUAUAUAUAUAUAUAUAUAUAUACACACACACACACGCAUAUGCAUAUAUAUAUAUGUAUAUAUAUAUAUUUUAAAAUCUGUGUGCCUACAAUCUGGGAACAUUUAAAAGAUCAUUUUUUAGAGAAUUUACACUAAGCUGUAUUUUAAUUCUUGUCUGUUUAUAGUAAAUAUACACAAAAUAUCAAAAUAAAUCUCUAGGACACAUCUGUUUCCUGUUCAUUGUGCACAUCAUGUUAUAAGCUUUUGGAAUGAAAAGUGACAUUUGAAAACCUCAAGAAAUGACAAUAGCAGCAGCGAUGAUGUUUUUCAGCUCUCACUCUAAUCAGUGGGAACUGAUUAUUCAUUUCAAAAGCUUUUAUAAAAUAAAGCAAACCUUGAAUAUGUUCAGUUAGGAAGCAAACCUUGAAAUUAUAUGGUUACCAGUAAUAAAUCAGAGUUUCAACAAAUAACUCAGUAAUUUUUUAAAAAUGCUAAACAUUUAUUAAAUACUUACCCAGGUUGUUUUUGUUAAUUUUAAGAUGCUGCCAAAAGUUUACACCCAUGUGUGUGCAACAUACAUACGUACAGUAUUUUUUCUUUUAGGUAACAUAGUUGGUUAAAGCACCUGAACAUAUUCCUAAAUAGGUGCACAUUUGUGGCUCAAGCCUGUAAUCCCAGCACUUUGGGAGGCUGAGGCGGGUGGAUCACGAGGUCAACAGAUCGAGACCAUCCUGGUCAACAUGGUGAAACCCCGUCUCUACUAAAAAUUACAAAAAAUUAGCUGGGCACGGUGGCGCGUGCCUGUAAUCCCAGCUACUCAGGAGGCUGAGGCAGGAGAAUUGCCUGAACCCAGCGGGCGGAGGUUGCGGUGAGCUGAGAUCACACCAUUGCACUCCAGCCUGGGUAACAAGAGCGAAACUCCGUCUCAAAAAAAAAAAAAAAUAGGCGCACAUUUUAAAAUAAUCUUACAUUAUGAGUAGGUUAACAACUUUUGAUUUAGAAUAAAGUUUGUUGAAGUUUGCCUUUUGAUUUCAACUAGCUAAAUUAAGAUAGCUUAAAUUAAGAAACUAGGAAAUCUGAAUUAAUUUAGAUUUUUUUUAACACCUUAAAAGAUCUAAUUUAAGGACUUGAAAAUUAGCAUUCUUUAGAUGAGAAAACAUGCCUAACGUUACCUUAUUUGAAAUGAAAUCUAUUAAUAUUUAAACACAUAUCAGACAUUAGGGACUGAAAAAAAGUAUACUGAGGCAAAGAAGAAAUUAUCUCUCUCUCCUUUCCUCUCUCUUCCUUCCCUUUCUCAUCUCCUUCAGGGGAAACUUUCUGCAGCUUUUGACCCUUUUUUGUAGAAAUCAAAGGUCCCUCAUUAGGAAUGAGGUCUCUCUGG
rnacentral:lncRNA from 1 species